ensembl:lncRNA
GCAGUGUUUGUGCCGCUGUGACACGUUUGAUGCAAACAUGUUUUCAGACAGAAAAAGAAAGGAGCUCAGAAAGUGAAAGAGGAGGAGCAUCUUAACUGCUCCUCUGGGCUGCACUUCGAUGGAACCAGUUCUUUCACUGGGACUGUGAAAAGGCCCAGUGACAGAAACACUGGCUAUGUGGUCUGGACACAGCAGCACAGAGAUUUCACCGAUCUCAAGUUCUUCCUCCAGCAGCACAAGAAAGGACGAGCAUCAAAAAGCAGACCUCACCAGGAGCGACGUGUCGUAGGAAUCUCAGAAUAAACAGACGUCUGAGCAGCAGAGUGAUUCAUUCACACACAGCAGCUCAAAUAUGAGCUCAGAGCUUCUGUAAAGUCUGAUCGUGGUCAGAAAUAAAAUGAGUGGAUCCUCUGUGGGUCUGCAGUGAGUCUGAUGGAUCUGAAGGAGACCUGAUCCUGUGGAAUCAGGGACUCCGUGGAUCUGCUGACUGAGGAUGGAUCCACCCUGGACUAUCUGGGAGUCCACACAGCCUGCUGCCUUUGGCUGAUGAAUGUUUUGAUCUGCCCCCCCCCCACCCCCACCAGCUUUUUCACCUGUGCAAGACUGUUUGUAAAAAAUCAGCUUCUGUUGGUUUGUUAGACGAGAU